CUACCCCUCAAGAAUUAUUGGCCAGUAUUGUAUUAAUUAUCAGUGUAUUGAUUAAAGUGAAAUUUAAGUGAAACAAAUCUUAGCAUUUCAAAUCGAUCAUUAAUUAAUAGAAAUUAAUGUAAAUUUCGUGUGCGAAAAAAGCGUCCAAGUACCCUGGAUGGCGAGUCCGAACACACCAAUAUAAAUAAAACAACAAAAAAUAUAUAAUUAAUCAAUUAUUUGAAAUAUAUAUAUACAUAUGAAUAUUUAAUAUAUUUAUACAUAUGUAUAUACGGGCCGUAGUCCCGUGUCUGCAACCUGUCUCGUAGUGACUGCAACCUAAGCUGCUGAUCAAAUUUCUUACAAUUUACUGCCAGAUUAAUCAAGAAACGCUUAUCAAAAAAGCUUAUACGCAAUUUAUGGAUUGGCGGCAAACUAGUAAUUUUUGUUUCCAAAUUUAGCAGAAAUUCUUUAAUUGUUUUUCUCCAUCUAGUAAGAAUUAUUAUUAUCAACAUUAAAGUUUUAUGCGACAAAAUUAUCUCAAAAAAAUUAUUAUCAUUGGAAAUGGUAAAGGUCACUACUUUCAGCAGAUAAAAACUAGCGAUCUCAAAUCGAUUACACAAAAGCUCAUAGAACUUCGAGAACAACGAUUGCUCAAGAUACAAAAUCAAAAAAAUGUCGAAAACAAUUUUAUUAUUAUUAAUUUUCGUAUUGAUUGGUCUCUACGCUGGUACAGAUGCAGCAUGUCCAGGCGGUUGGUGCCAUCCAUCCCAAGGUUAUGGCUGUUGUGAAGGAAAUGUGUGCGAUUCGUAUUUGUUCCAAGGUACGUGCAUAACUACUCAGGAGGCCAUGCGUCUACUACCUCCUCCAGGAAAAUAAUUAUAGCAAUACAGUAAAAAUUUAAAGAUGUAUUUUUUGAAUCAAUAAAACUUUCAAUACACAGAAAAUUUA